rnacentral:rRNA from 1 species
UACGAGGGGGGCAAGUGUUGUUCGGAAUCACUGGGCGUAAAGGGAGCGUAGGCGGAUGUUUAAGUUGGAUGUUUAAAACCGGGGCCUAACCUCGGAGCGGCAUUCAAAACUGGGCAUCUUGAAUAGGUCAGAGGCUGGUGGAAUUGGAGGUGUAGCGGUGGAAUGCGUAGAGAUCUCCAAGAACACCUAUUGCGAAGGCAGCCAGCUGGGAUGAUAUUGACGCUGAGGCUCGAAAGCGUGGGGAGCAAAUAGG